rnacentral:rRNA from 1 species
AUUGAACGCUGGCGGCAUGCCUUACACAUGCAAGUCGAACGGCAGCGGACCUUCGGGUGCCGGCGAGUGGCGAACGGGUGAGUAAUGCAUCGGAACGUACCUUUCAGUGGGGGAUAACGUAGCGAAAGUUACGCUAAUACCGCAUAUUCUGUGAGCAGGAAAGCAGGGGAUCGCAAGACCUUGCGCUGAUUGAGCGGCCGAUGUCAGAUUAGCUAGUUGGUGAGGUAAAGGCUCAACAAGGCGACGAUCUGUAGCGGGUCUGAGAGGAUGAUCCGCCACACUGGAACUGAGCCACGGUCCAGACUCCUACGGGAGGCAGCAGUGGGGAAUUUUGGACAAUGGGGGCAACCCUGAUCCAGCCAUGCCGCGUGAGUGAAGAAGGCCUUCGGGUUGUAAAGCUCUUUCGGCCGGGAAGAAAUCGCACGGGCUAAUACCCUGUGUGGAUGACGGUACCGGAAUAAGAAGCACCGGCUAACUACGUGCCAGCAGCCGCGGUAACAC